rnacentral:rRNA from 1 species
GGUUAAGCGACUAAGCGUACACGGUGGAUGCCCUGGCAGUCAGAGGCGAUGAAGGACGUGCUAAUCUGCGAAAAGCGUCGGUAAGGUGAUAUGAACCGUUAUAACCGGCGAUGUCCGAAUGGGGAAACCCAGUGUGUUCCGACACACUAUCAUUAACUGAAUCCAUAGGUUAAUGAGGCGAACCGGGGGAACUGAAACAUCUAAGUACCCCGAGGAAAAGAAAUCAACCGAGAUUCCCCCAGUAGCGGCGAGCGAACGGGGAGGAGCCCAGAGCCUGAAUCAGUGUGUGUGUUAGUGGAAGCGUCUGGAAAGGCGCGCGAUACAGGGUGACAGCCCCGUACACAAAAAUGCACAUAUUGUGAGCUCGAUGAGUAGGGCGGGACACGUGGUAUCCUGUCUGAAUAUGGGGGGACCAUCCUCCAAGGCUAAAUACUCCUGACUGACCGAUAGUGAAGCAGUACCGUGAGGGAAAGGCGAAAAGAACCCCGGCGAGGGGAGUGAAAAAGAACCUGAAACCGUGUACGUACAAGCAGUGGGAGCCCUGAUUUAUCAGGGUGACUGCGUACCUUUUGUAUAAUGGGUCAGCGACUUAUAUUCUGUAGCAAGGUUAACCGAAUAGGGGAGCCGGAGGGAAACCGAGUCUUAACUGGGCGUUAAGUUGCAGGGUAUAGACCCGAAACCCGGUGAUCUAGCCAUGGGCAGGUUGAAGGUUGGGUAACACUAACUGGAGGACCGAACCGACUAAUGUUGAAAAAUUAGCGGAUGACUUGUGGCUGGGGGUGAAAGGCCAAUCAAACCGGGAGAUAGCUGGUUCUCCCCGAAAGCUAUUUAGGUAGCGCCUCGUGAAUUCAUCUCCGGGGGUAGAGCACUGUUUCGGCAAGGGGGUCAUCCCGACUUACCAACCCGAUGCAAACUGCGAAUACCGGAGAAUGUUAUCACGGGAGACACACGGCGGGUGCUAACGUCCGUCGUGAAGAGGGAAACAACCCAGACCGCCAGCUAAGGUCCCAAAGUCAUGGUUAAGUGGGAAACGAUGUGGGAAGGCCCAGACAGCCAGGAUGUUGGCUUAGAAGCAGCCAUCAUUUAAAGAAAGCGUAAUAGCUCACUGGUCGAGUCGGCCUGCGCGGAAGAUGUAACGGGGCUAAACCAUGCACCGAAGCUGCGGCAGCGACGCUGAUGCGUUGUUGGGUAGGGGAGCGUUCUGUAAGCCUGUGAAGGUGGCCUGUGAGGGUUGCUGGAGGUAUCAGAAGUGCGAAUGCUGACAUAAGUAACGAUAAAGCGGGUGAAAAGCCCGCUCGCCGGAAGACCAAGGGUUCCUGUCCAACGUUAAUCGGGGCAGGGUGAGUCGACCCCUAAGGCGAGGCCGAAAGGCGUAGUCGAUGGGAAACAGGUUAAUAUUCCUGUACUUGGUGUUACUGCGAAGGGGGGACGGAGAAGGCUAUGUUGGCCGGGCGACGGUUGUCCCGGUUUAAGCGUGUAGGCUGGUUUUCCAGGCAAAUCCGGAGAAUCAAGGCUGAGGCGUGAUGACGAGGCACUACGGUGCUGAAGCAACAAAUGCCCUGCUUCCAGGAAAAGCCUCUAAGCAUCAGGUAACAUCAAAUCGUACCCCAAACCGACACAGGUGGUCAGGUAGAGAAUACCAAGGCGCUUGAGAGAACUCGGGUGAAGGAACUAGGCAAAAUGGUGCCGUAACUUCGGGAGAAGGCACGCUGAUGGUAGGUGAAGCGACUUGCUCGUGGAGCUGAAAUCAGUCGAAGAUACCAGCUGGCUGCAACUGUUUAUUAAAAACACAGCACUGUGCAAACACGAAAGUGGACGUAUACGGUGUGACGCCUGCCCGGUGCCGGAAGGUUAAUUGAUGGGGUCAGCGCAAGCGAAGCUCUUGAUCGAAGCCCCGGUAAACGGCGGCCGUAACUAUAACGGUCCUAAGGUAGCGAAAUUCCUUGUCGGGUAAGUUCCGACCUGCACGAAUGGCGUAAUGAUGGCCAGGCUGUCUCCACCCGAGACUCAGUGAAAUUGAACUCGCUGUGAAGAUGCAGUGUACCCGCGGCAAGACGGAAAGACCCCGUGAACCUUUACUAUAGCUUGACACUGAACACUGGUCCUUGAUGUGUAGGAUAGGUGGGAGGCUUUGAAGUGUGGACGCCAGUCUGCAUGGAGCCGUCCUUGAAAUACCACCCUUUAAUGGCUGGUGUUCUAACGUGGGCCCGUAAUCCGGGUUGCGGACAGUGUCUGGUGGGUAGUUUGACUGGGGCGGUCUCCUCCUAAAGAGUAACGGAGGAGCACGAAGGUUGGCUAAUCCUGGUCGGACAUCAGGAGGUUAGUGCAAUGGCAUAAGCCAGCUUGACUGCGAGCGUGACGGCGCGAGCAGGUGCGAAAGCAGGUCAUAGUGAUCCGGUGGUUCUGAAUGGAAGGGCCAUCGCUCAACGGAUAAAAGGUACUCCGGGGAUAACAGGCUGAUACCGCCCAAGAGUUCAUAUCGACGGCGGUGUUUGGCACCUCGAUGUCGGCUCAUCACAUCCUGGGGCUGAAGUAGGUCCCAAGGGUAUGGCUGUUCGCCAUUUAAAGUGGUACGCGAGCUGGGUUUAGAACGUCGUGAGACAGUUCGGUCCCUAUCUGUCGUGGGCGCUGGAGAACUGAGGGGGGCUGCUCCUAGUACGAGAGGACCGGAGUGGACGCAUCACUGGUGUUCGGGUUGUCAUGCCAAUGGCACUGCCCGGUAGCUAAAUGCGGAAGAGAUAAGUGCUGAAAGCAUCUAAGCACGAAACUUGCCCCGAGAUGAGUUCUCCCUGAGACUUUAAGUCUCCUGAAGGAACGUUGAAGACGACGACGUUGAUAGGCCGGGUGUGUAAGCGCAGCGAUGCGUUGAGCUAACCGGUACUAAUGAACCGUGAGGCUUAACCUU